UACGUAGGGUGCGAGCGUUGUCCGGAAUUAUUGGGCGUAAAGGGCUCGUAGGCGGUUUGUCGCGUCGGGAGUGAAAACCCAGGGCUUAACCCUGGGCUGGCUUCCGAUACGGGCAGACUAGAGGUAUGCAGGGGAGAACGGAAUUCCUGGUGUAGCGGUGAAAUGCGCAGAUAUCAGGAGGAACACCGGUGGCGAAGGCGGUUCUCUGGGCAUUACCUGACGCUGAGGCACGAAGGUCAGGGGAGCAAACGGG
rnacentral:rRNA from 1 species